rnacentral:rRNA from 1 species
AUUGAACGCUGGCGGCAGGCCUAACACAUGCAAGUCGAACGAGUGGCGGACGGGUGAGUACUGUCUGGGAAACUGCCUGAGGGAGGGGGAUAACUACUGGAAACGGUAGCUAAUACCGCAUACCAUCGGAUGUGCCCAGAUGGGAUUAGCUAGUAGGUGUGGUAACGGCUCACCUAGGCGACGAUCCCUAGCUGGGCUGAGAGGAUGACCAGCCACACUGGCACUGAGAUACGGUCCAGACUCCUACUGGAGGCAGCAGUUGCGAAUAUUGCACAAUGGGGGAAACCCUGAUGCAGCAACGCCGCGUGCGGGAUGACGGCCUUCGGGUUGUAAACCGCUUUCAGCCAUGACGCGGUAGUGGCAGAAGAAGCACCGGCUAACUACGUGCCAGCAGCCGCGGUAAUAC